rnacentral:rRNA from 1 species
UGGGGAAUUUUGGACAAUGGGCGAAAGCCUGAUCCAGCAAUGCCGCGUGUGUGAAGAAGGCCUUCGGGUUGUAAAGCACUUUUGUCCGGAAAGAAAUCCUUGGCUCUAAUACAGUCGGGGGAUGACGGUACCGGAAGAAUAAGCACCGGCUAACUACGUGCCAGCAGCCGCGGUAAUACGUAGGGUGCAAGCGUUAAUCGGAAUUACUGGGCGUAAAGCGUGCGCAGGCGGUUUGCUAAGACCGAUGUGAAAUCCCCGGGCUCAACCUGGGAACUGCAUUGGUGACUGGCAGGCUAGAGUAUGGCAGAGGGGGGUAGAAUUCCACGUGUAGCAGUGAAAUGCGUAGAGAUGUGGAGGAAUACCGAUGGCGAAGGCAGCCCCCUGGGCCAAAUACUGACGCUCAUGCACGAAAGCGUGGGGAGCAAAACAGGAUUAGAUACCCUGGUAGUCCACGCCCUAAAACGAUGUCAACUAGUUGUUGGGGAUUCAUUUCCUUAGUAACGUAGCUAACGCGUGAAGUUGACCGCCUGGGGAGUACGGUCGCAAAGAUUAAAAACUCAAAGGAAUUGAC